rnacentral:tRNA from 1 species
GAAGGUAUAGCUCAGUGGUAGAGUGUUUGCCUAGAAUGCACGAGGUCCUGGAUUCAAUUCCCAGUCCUUCCA